UGCGAUGUGUUCAGACUAAAAAGAGUUG
rnacentral:piRNA from 1 species